UUGCUACCAUUCAAUGUGUAGAUUCAAGUAUUUACCCAGAUACUGCCACAAUAUGUUCUUAUUGUUUUCAAAGGAGUUUGCACACAGUGCCAGAAGCUGUAUAAAUACAUUUAACAAUGUAUAUUUCAAGAAGAAAUGAUGCUUUCUUAUUCCUAAGAGUUUAUCAAUAGGAUGAAUGCCACAAAACUCACUUGUUAUGCCAGAAACUCUUCCUACGAAACUUCCAUACUAGAAUUUGUCCAGUGCCUGUGAUCCUCUGAGUUGAAGGAGAAUGUGCUCCAUAAUACCUACUAGGAGCUUGCUGAUAGCUGGAAGUUCAUGAAUACUAUGUUGUCCUUGAUUUUAUGAUUCUGAAAACUACCAUUUCUGAAGACUUGAGCAUUAUUUCUAUAAUUUAAAAAAAUCUUUUCAGGAAAUAUUGUGUUUAUAAUAUUAAGAAAGUGAAGAUAAUAUUGUUCUUACUAAUAUUAUUGACUUAUUAAAAUAGAAAGCACAUCAU